AGGAUGAACGCUGGCGGUCUGCUUAACACAUGCAAGUCGAACGGAGUAGCAAUACUUAGUGGCGGACGGGUGAGUAACGCGUGAGAAUCUACCUUCAGGACGGAGACAACAGUUGGAAACGACUGCUAACCCCCGAUGUACCGAAAGGGCAAAUAUUUAUAGCCUGAAGAAGAGCUCGCGUCCGAUUAGCUAGUUGGAGAGGUAAAAGCUCACCAAGGCGACGAUCGGUAGCUGGUCUGAGAGGACGAUCAGCCACACUGGGACUGAGACACGGCCCAGACUCCUACGGGAGGCAGCAGUGGGGAAUUUUCCGCAAUGGGCGAAAGCCUGACGGAGCAAGACCGCGUGGGGGAAGAAGGCUCUUGGGUUGUAAACCCCUUUUCUCUGGGAAGAACGCAAUGACGGUACCAGAGGAAUCAGCAUCGGCUAACUCCGUGCCAGCAGCCGC
rnacentral:rRNA from 1 species